UACGGAGGGUGCAAGCGUUAAUCGGAAUUACUGGGCGUAAAGCGCACGCAGGUGGCUGAGUCAGUCGAUUGUGAAAGCCCUGGGCUUAACCCUGGGAAUUGCAGUCGAUACUACUCAGCUAGAGUAUGGGAGAGGGCAGUGGAAUUCCCGGUGUAGCGGUGAAAUGCGUAGAUAUCGGGAGGAACAUCAGUGGCGAAGGCGGCUGCCUGGCCCAAUACUGACACUCAGGUGCGACAGCGUGGGGAGCAACAGGG
rnacentral:rRNA from 1 species